UAUAUAUCCAGCGUGUAAAGCAAACGGUUUCUGUAAUGGACUAAUUUGAUUAUAUGUAAGUGCUGAAACGCAAGAGUUUUCGAAUGAAAGAUAAGUGUUGAUAUACCCUCAGAACUGGGCUGUUAUAGCGGGAGCCUCCCCUGUUCUCAUGCCGGAUAUAGCUAUUGCGCGAUGGCCGGACCCGAUGGGCGCGAGCCCCGAUUGAAUAUUUCCCGCGGGUCUCCUAUAGUUGUAGGGGAACUAAACAAAAACUAAACAAAAUCUCUUUUCGCGCAGGCUUUGCGCGAUUUUAUUGUGCGUUUGAACUAUAGCAAAUACAAAAAAAUAUAUAUAUACAAUGUCCUCCGCGCCACACGCCCUACAUGGCGCUAGUUGAAGGUCUGUCUUCCUCCUGCAAACAGAAAUAGAUAAUGUUAGCAAAGCAUGGCCUGGCUUGCAUCGUUGCAGGCGCCGUGCAAAUCCGCACGUAGUUACCGUGUGUGUGGCCGAGGCACUUGCGCAGUGCCGAAUGACGAUGCUGGCGCAGCUUGGUCUUUCAGGCCCUUGCGCCAUAAAACCGCAUACCUACCUACCGAAUGACGAUGCUCGGCGCGUUAGCGAGUGGCGGGGUCUCGACAUUAAGAGUUUUUAAUUGCAGGCCGGUCUUUCCGGGCCCGGGGUAUACCUCCGCUGCGUCCUUCAUAAACAGCAACAGCUCUUGCCCGCUACGAGGCAUACCUCGGAACCAUCGUUCUCGGUAAGUGUACUCUGCAAUAUAUUGGGCCAACGAUUCGUUGUCCCUCGCAAUUUUGAUGGUGUCCUGCAAAAGGAAGAAAGCCAUUGAGUUAGGUCUGUCGGCCGGAGAUACCGGGCCGUGGCUCGGUAACGGGUGCCAGCCCUGCCGGAUUAUAGUCAUACCUUCAAAUGCCGAUUUCUCGUCUCGAUGUUCUGAGCGUGCACUUGUGGAUCGAGGGGCGACACGAAUCGAAAAUACAGCACUGAAACGUUAUUUGCCUCCCAAUUGAGGGGAAAGCCAAAUGCCGAUUCCUCAAAUGGCCUUCCGCAUAUCUACCUUCCCGGGGCCCCUAUACUGUGGUUGACGGUUUUGUGUGUGGCGAACCCUGAUUGCUCGCAAUCAAUAUAUUGCGGAGCCCAGUCACUGAUGAUGGUGCUCCCGGCCUCUAUAUACUGAUAUUUAUAGGCCCACAGGACAGCUCGGGUCUUAUCGGGUACCUAGGGUGAAAAACCGACACGAAACAGGUGGUUGCUCGGAAUACUUCGCAUCGUUGCCGAUGCCACA
rnacentral:lncRNA from 1 species